AUAUAUUUUCACUUAGAAUCACAUAUUCAGCUGAGCCUUUUAAUUAUUAUAUCAAACUUGUUUAAUGUAAACUGCAACCAAAACUCAACUGAUUUUUCAGAGAUCAUUUGAUUCAUUACGCGCUACUUUCGCUUUUUCGAGCUGUUCGAUUUAGGACACCGAUCUAGCCUUGAUUCGAUAAAACUAGUCUACUAGUAUGUUCAACUAUCUCGAACCCUAUGCAUAAAGUCAUAUCCGCUUGGUUUUGAAGAAAUAUUAAUCUUUCCAUUUGCUCAAACCUGUCUUUGUGCUUUGUGCCGACGAUCCAAAUGACAAAUAACUCUUUCUCAUCGUCACAAGAUCUCUCGACGGUGACUAUUACUAAAUUCUCUGAAUUGAUCGCGGAAGUGUCUUGGACACAUCAUGAAUUCGUUUGUGGCAUGCUGCUUGAUUGUUUUUGUCUCUGAUUCUCUAU
rnacentral:lncRNA from 1 species